UCGGGUGUCCAGGCGCCGGAUCUGAGCGAACGUCUCAGCCGGUAGCUCAUGGGUGGAACAUUGACAUUGGUGCAGAGCCGAACGGCUCGAACUCAGUACAUCCCUUGCGGAUAGGAAAGGUUCGGACCCGGAAGUCCUGCACAUGCACGCUGUUGGGUCCUGAGGGACCGGACCUCAUCGGAACAGAUGAGAACCGAAUCCUCUGGACCUUUUCUUGUCGGUCAUAAUUCGGCCGGCGGAGAAGGUACCGCCCGUACUUUGAGAACUACACAGUGGACGCGAGCAUCUUAGAUUCGAACCUUCGGGUUCGGAUCACAAAAGAUGAUCUGAUUUAUUAGAUCAUUGGUCAAUCUGCUCACUUAGGUGAGCCGAUCGAUUCAAACUCAUGUGAU
rnacentral:misc_RNA from 1 species